rnacentral:rRNA from 1 species
CCUACGGGAGGCAGCAGUGGGGAAUAUUGGACAAUGGGCGAAAGCCUGAUCCAGCAAUGCCGCGUGAGUGAUGAAGGCCUUAGGGUUGUAAAGCUCUUUUACCAGGGAUGAUAAUGACAGUACCUGGAGAAUAAGCUCCGGCUAACUCCGUGCCAGCAGCCGCGGUAAUACGGAGGGAGCUAGCGUUGUUCGGAAUUACUGGGCGUAAAGCGUGCGUAGGCGGCUAUUCAAGUCAGAGGUGAAAGCCCGGGGCUCAACCCCGGAACGGCCUUUGAAACUAGGUAGCUAGAAUCUUGGAGAGGUUAGUGGAAUUCCGAGUGUAGAGGUGAAAUUCGUAGAUAUUCGGAAGAACACCAGUGGCGAAGGCGACUAACUGGACAAGUAUUGACGCUGAGGUACGAAAGCGUGGGGAGCAAACAGGAUUAGAUACCCUGGUAGUCCACGCCGUAAACGAUGAUAACUAGCUGUCCGGGCACUUGGUGCUUGGGUGGCGCAGCUACGACAUUAAGUUAUCCGUCCGUCGGGUAGGUACGGUCGCGAAGAAUUAAAACUAACAAAGGAAAGUUAGUACGGCGUGAGACGUGCCGAACGGACGACGACGAGGGAAGGUAGG